rnacentral:rRNA from 1 species
GACGAACGCUGGCGGCGUGCUUAACACAUGCAAGUCGAACGGAAAGGCCCUGCUUUUGUGGGGUGCUCGAGUGGCGAACGGGUGAGUAACACGUGAGUAACCUGCCCUUGACUUUGGGAUAACUUCAGGAAACUGGGGCUAAUACCGGAUAGGAGCUCCUGCUGCAUGGUGGGGGUUGGAAAGUUUCGGCGGUUGGGGAUGGACUCGCGGCUUAUCCGCUUGUUGGUGGGGUAGUGGCUUACCAAGGCUUUGACGGGUAGCCGGCCUGGGAGGGUGACCGGGCACAUUGGGACUGAGGGAGGGCCCAGAAUCCAACGGGAGGCAGCAGGGGGGAGUAUUGCACAGUGGGCGGAAGCCUGAUGCGGCAGCGCCGCGUGCGGGAUGACGGCCUUCGGGUUGAAAACCGCUUUCGCCUGUGACGAAGCGUGAGUGACGGUAAUGGGUAAAGAAGCACCGGCUAACUACGUG